GAUGAACGCUAGCUACAGGCUUAACACAUGCAAGUCGAGGGGCAGCAUGGUCUUAGCUUGCUAAGGCCGAUGGCGACCGGCGCACGGGUGAGUAACACGUAUCCAACCUGCCGUCUACUCUUGGACAGCCUUCUGAAAGGAAGAUUAAUACAAGAUGGCAUCAUGAGUUCACAUGUUCACAUGAUUAAAGGUAUUCCGGUAGACGAUGGGGAUGCGUUCCAUUAGAUAGUAGGCGGGGUAACGGCCCACCUAGUCUUCGAUGGAUAGGGGUUCUGAGAGGAAGGUCCCCCACAUUGGAACUGAGACACGGUCCAAACUCCUACGGGAGGCAGCAGUGAGGAAUAUUGGUCAAUGGGCGAGAGCCUGAACCAGCCAAGUAGCGUGAAGGAUGACUGCCCUAUGGGUGGUAAACUUCUUUUAUAAAGGAAUAAAGUCGGGUAUGUAUACCCGUUUGCAUGUACUUUAUGAAUAAGGAUCGGCUAACUCCGUG
rnacentral:rRNA from 1 species